UACGUAGGGGGCAAGCGUUAUCCGGAUUUACUGGGUGUAAAGGGGGCGUAGACGGCGAAGAAAGUCUGAAGUGAAAGCCCGCGGCUCAACCGCGGAAUGGCUUUGGAAACUUUUUUGCUGGAGUACCGGAGAGGUAAGCGGAAUUCCUAGUGUAGCGGUGAAAUGCGUAGAUAUUAGGAGGAACGCCAGUGGCGAAGGCGGCUUACUGGACGGUAACUGACGUUGAGGCUCGAAAGCGUGGGGAGCAAACAGG
rnacentral:rRNA from 1 species